CGACACGACCGUACCGCAAACCGACACUGGUGCGCGAGAUGAGUAUUCUAAGGCGCUUGAGAGAACUCAGGAGAAGGAACUCGGCAAAUUGACACCGUAACUUCGGAAGAAGGUGUGCCUUUAGUAGGUGAAGGGAUUUACUCCCAGAGCCCAAUGAGGUUGCAAAAAAUCGGUGGCUGCGACUGUUUAAUAAAAACACAGCACUCUGCAAACACGAAAGUGGACGUAUAGGGUGUGACGCCUGCCCGGUGCUGGAAGAUUAAAUGAUGGGGUGCAAGCUCUUGAUUGAAGUCCCAGUAAACGGCGGCCGUAACGAUAACGGUCCUAAGGUAGCGAAAUUCCUUGUCGGGUAAGUUCCGACCUGCACGAAUGGCGUAACGAUGGCCACACUGUCUCCUCCUGAGACUCAGCGAAGUUGAAAUGUUUGUGAUGAUGCAAUCUCCCCGCGGAAAGACGGAAAGACCCCAUGAACCUUUACUGUAGCUUUGUAUUGGACUUUGAACAGAUCUGUGUAGGAUAGGUGGGAGGCUUUGAAGUGUGGUCGCUAGAUCGCAUGGAGCCAACGUUGAAAUACCACCCUGGUGUGUUUGAGGUUCUAACCUAGGUCCAUUAUCUGGAUCGGGGACAGUGCAUGGUAGGCAGUUUGACUGGGGCGGUCUCCUCCCAAAGCGUAACGGAGGAGUUCGAAGGUACGCUAGGUACGGUCGGACAUCGUGCUAAUAGUGCAAUGGCAUAAGUGUGCUUAACUGCGAGACUGACAAGUCGAGCAGAUGCGAAAGCAGGACAUAGUGAUCCGGUGGUUCUGUAUGGAAGGGCCAUCGCUCAACGGAUAAAAGGUACUCUGGGGAUAACAGGCUGAUACCGCCCAAGAGUUCAUAUCGACGGCGGUGUUUGGCACCUCGAUGUCGGCUCAUCUCAUCCUGGGGCUGUAGCCGGUCCCAAGGGUAUGGCUGUUCGCCAUUUAAAGAGGUACGUGAGCUGGGUUUAAAACGUCGAGACAGUUUGGUCCCUAUCUUCCGUGGGCGCUGCAGAUUUGAGGAAGCCUGCUCCUAGUACGAGAGGACCGGAGUGGACACACCUCUGGUGUAUCGGUUGUCACGCCAGUGGCAUUGCCGAGUAGCUAUGUGUGGAAGAGAUAACCGCUGAAAGCAUCUAAGCGGGAAACUCGUUUCAAGAUGAGAUCUGCCGGGGCCUUGAGCCCCCUAAAGAGUCGUUCAAGACCAGGACGUUGAUAGGUCAGGUGUGGAAGCGCAGUAAUGCGUUAAGCUAACUGAUACUAAUUGCUCGUGCGGCUUGACCU
rnacentral:rRNA from 1 species